GUAAAUUAAGCUUUGUUAGAUUUCAAUCUUCAAAUCUUUAUCUCCUUUGUUUGCUUUUCUUUUCCCCACCUUGAUCUGAGAUGGAGUGGUUGAAUCGUCUUCGGGUGGAUCUGAGAGUGAAAGACGUAAAGAUAUGAUUACUUGAAUUAAAAGAAAAGGUUGGUAGGUGACGGGCUGGCUUGGUGCUUUGGCCGGCGUGGUUGGCUGACAACGAGAGAGAGCACGCCGGUCGGCAGUCAUGCAAGGUGCCAUGGCUGUGUACUAGCGUGCUCUUUCUCGUUGUCACCCCAGUUCUCCCCACAAAGCAUCUCCUCGACUCCUUUUGGAUCACAAUAUAUGGACUGUACUGCUCCAAAGAAGAUAAGCUAAAGCUUCCAUGCUAAUAACCUCACCAGGAUUUAAUGCUGGAAUACCUAGUGACUCCUGGGAUCUCUCUUAUUCGAAAGCCCAGCAUCAAGUGCUGAAUCCAUGGCUUGACUGAAAAUGGUAUCCAUGUUUUGGCUCAGUGGAGCUCUUGUGGCAUCUAAAGAUGCUCGAAGAAGAUAGCUCGGCCUUGUGCUUUGAAGUGCUCGGAGACAUUAGCUUACUCUCUCCUUGUCUAUAAGAUGUCCUGACAUAUGGAGCCUUGCUCAAAUGCAGUCUCUGGUAGCCUUGGUUCUUCAUCCACGAUUACAGGAAUGCCAUGGGAAGUUAGUGCUCAAGUAGAUAGUACUAGUGAUCUCUCCAAUGUUGCUGCAUAUGCCUUGGAAAGUUGGUGAAAGUGAUCAGAACUGCAGCUGCUUGUUUACCACCAGGGAUAACCCAAUGCAAGUUGUACUCUGGAAUUACUGUACUUCUUACUGCAUCUGAGAUGAUCAUAGCAUGUGUUGCAGAAAUAUGCGCGGUCCAUGGCAAAAUCAGGAUGUCACCAGGGGUGCAAGUUGCCAUGUUUCUGCCUGAAUGCCACUAAUGGUGCCUCCGACAAGCAACCAUGACUUAGAUUUGAGCUUCAAGUUUACUCCCUUGGGAAAGAAGAGGUCAUCAGUGACAGGUAAUGGAGUUAAAUAAAGCAAAAACAUUUCUUUGCCAGUGAGCUGGGAUUGCAUGGUUGGAGCAGCUUUGCCUCGAUUAUGUCCGGGAAAAUGAAAGCAGGCUGCAUCUCGUCCUACAAAGGCCUUUUAGAGCAGACACUAGAGGGGCAUUUAUCUUCAAGUAGGGCAGCCUCCUUGACAGUAAUCAAAGCAGUUGCAUCGGAGGUUCUUAAUUUGGUUGCUCAGUGAGGUAUUCACUUGCUUCUUUGUGGGUGCUGGGUUAGUUUUCUUUUAGAGAUUGAGAUCUGGUGUAAACCAGCUGCAAAUGUUUCAAGGCUAAUCAUUCAAUGCAUUUGUUGCCAUGCAAUUGUUAUCAGUAUGGUCUCAUGGUGUAGAAAUUUGUAGUAUUUGAAUGUGUUCUUGUUAGUGAUGCAUUUAUCGGUCUAUUGUGAGGCUUCACAUAUCUACAGAAAGCUAAUAGUCCAACUGAUUGGAUGAGAA